rnacentral:lncRNA from 1 species
AGAGAGAGAGAGAGAAAGAGAGAGAGAGUUGAGCUAGAAUACUUCCAAAAGCACCAAGAGGGUGGUGCAUGCUUUUGAAUUUUUAGUCCUUGGAUGGAGAGAUGUAGGGUUGAAAUGAUGGUGGUGGUAGGUGAUGGUAGAUGAAAUAGUGUUUGAUCUAAAAGCUAUUAGUAAUCAAGGAGUGGAUCCAAGGGUUAGAAACUUAAAAGCACCAAGAGGUUGGUCCUUCUAAAAGUAUUCUAGCUCAACUCUCUCUCUCUCUCUCUCUCUCUCUCUCUCUCUCUCUCUCUAUAUAUAUAUAUAUAAGCACGUAUUUCAAAUUUCGAUUUAUCGACAAAUCCAUUUCAUAAUUCCUCUUGUUUUGUACGCAAAAUAAAUAAUAUAACGAAACAAACCUUUAAUUCCUCUUUUUUCUCCCACUAUUAUAUUUUAUUUUUUAUUAAUAUUUUUAUCAUUCAAUAUCAUUUUUUAAGAUAAAUAAUUAUAUAUUAUCUCUAUUCUAUCUACUAAUAUUUUAUUGUUAUAUCAAUUUUUAAAUUUUGAUAUUUUUAGUUUAAAUUAUAUAUUUAAAUUUUGAAUUUGUCAGAAUUAAAAAAAUUUACUCUAGUUGAACUUCUCACGACUAGCCGCUUCCAUCAAAAUAUCUGCUAU